rnacentral:rRNA from 1 species
UACGGAGGGUGCAAGCGUUAUCCGGAUUUACUGGGUUUAAAGGGUGCGCAGGCGGAUAUGUAAGUCAGUGGUGAAAUCUCUGGGCUUAACCCGGAAAUUGCCAUUGAUACUAUAUAUCUUGAAUGCUGUGGAGGUAAGCGGAAUAUGUCAUGUAGCGGUGAAAUGCUUAGAGAUGACAUAGAACACCUAUUGCAAAGGCAGCUUACUACGCAGAUAUUGACGCUCAUGCACGAAAGCGUGGGGAUCAAACAGG